CAGUAGCCGCGGGAAUACGAGGGGGGCAAGCGUUGUUCGGAAUUAUUGGGCGUAAAGGGCGCGUAGGCGGUUUGGCAAGUUUGGUGUGAAAUCUUCGGGCUCAACUCGAAGUCUGCAUCGAAAACUGCCGGGCUUGAGUGUGGGAGAGGUGAGUGGAAUUUCCGGUGUAGCGGUGAAAUGCGUAGAUAUCGGAAGGAACACCUGUGGCGAAAGCGGCUCACUGGACCACAACUGACGCUGAGGCGCGAAAGCUAGGGGAGCAAACAGGAUUAGAUACCCCAGUAGUCCCUGUCUCUUAUAC
rnacentral:rRNA from 1 species